rnacentral:misc_RNA from 1 species
ACUAUUAAAAAUCCAACGUGUCUUAAACAUCCGUUUUAGGACAUAAACCCCCUUUUUUUAAAAGCGAACUAAAACGAAGGAUUUAUUUCUCUUCGUUUCUUUUUUUUUCUCUCUUACCAUAAACCCAAUUGAAUUUUUUAGACUGAAACUUUUUUUCCUCUGGAAACAGAGAAAAAUAAAAAACAAAAUGCUAUACAACUCUUAACAACGGAUAUCUUGGUUCU